AAGUUGCCAAAACCGAGUAGACACUUCAUCCACGGUCGCUCACGAGCGAGCGGUCCGCGCGAUAAGCUUAUUUGGCGCCGCCGGUCUUACUCGGAGCCUGGGGGCUUGUAGGCGAUGAACAUGACGCACUGCACCUGCUUGAUGUUGUCGAAGCCGAUGAUACGGAUGUAACAGUCGGGGUAGGCCUUCUUGCACUCCUCGAACUCAGCGUACACCUGGGUGGCCUCGGUGCAGCCGAACAUGGGCAGCUUCCACAUGGUCCAGUAGCGCCCGUCGUAGUAACAGGGAGACGUGCUGUUCUCACGAUAGACGAACCCGAUCUUGCUGAACUCGAGGCAGGGAAUCCAGUUCUUCCGGAUCAGGUAGUCGAUCUGCUUUAGGACCUCGUCCGUGGAGAGAGGUGGCAGGUAGGAGAGGGUCUCGAACUUCUUGUUGCCCUCCGCCGGCCACACCUGAGCAAUUAACAAUACCCAUGCAUCAGUUCCUGACUUCCUACUACUCAGUUGCAUUUAACUCAGAUCGAUUGUCGAGCUGUUUAUUCGGUCGUGCAUGCUCUGUAUGUACUCUGUUUCUCUCUACUUAACGAAAAACAUGCUAUUGCGCGUCUUAAAAAAAAGAUCGAUCGAUUGUUACCUGCAUGCACCUGAUCCUUCCGCCGUUGCUGACGUUGCCGAAGCCGGAGCUGCUGGAGCGGCGGCUGACGGGGAGUCUGGCGGUGGACUUGAGCCCCUGGAAUGGAGCGACGGAGGUGGCGGCGGCCAUCGCGGUGGGGGCCAUGGCUUACUAGAGACCAAGCUAGCGAAUAAAACUGAAGCCUCAGUAGCUUGAGUUGAGGCUUGUGGCAAGGGGCACAUAUAACCAAACCAGAGGGGAUGUCAGGAUAUGGCAGGAGUGGCUGCUGUUGGACAGUCCAAACGUUUGUGGCUAGCUCAUGCGGCGUCAGCUGCUCU
rnacentral:lncRNA from 1 species